rnacentral:rRNA from 1 species
AUGGCCGUGGCCCUCGUCUCCCUCCUUCUUGCACCGGCCUUCGCAGUGGACCACAUCGUCGGGGACGCCGUAGGCUGGACACUCAAUUACCCCGCCACCUGGGCCGACGGCAAAAUAUUCAAAGUUGGUGACAACCUAGUGUUCACGUACCCCAUUGGCAGCCACACGGUGGCCGAGGUGGCCGGCAUCGACUUCAGGUCUUGCAACAUCGACGGAAACCAAAUCAACUCCUGGGACUCCGGGAAUGACACAGUCCCGCUCGAUAAGGCUGGUAGGAGGUGGUUCGUUUGUACUAUGAAUACCCACUGCAAGCAUGGCAUGAAGCUCCUCAUCACUGUGAUUGACGACAACGCCCCGGCCCCAGGACUGGCUAGCCCAGCUGCAGGACCAGCCGGCGCAGCACCUUCGUCAGCCCCUUUGGUCGGCACGCUCAAGAUAGUAGUGGCCGACGCCCUUGCCUCAGCUAUGCUUAUGUUUUAG